rnacentral:lncRNA from 1 species
UUUUCAUUUCCAAUUGAUGUGGCUGAUCUAUUGCCAUUUGAUGUAAAAGGUGUGUGGGAAUCCAUGGAAGAAGCUUUGAGACUUGGACUCACGAAAGCUAUUGGUGUCAGUAACUUCUCUGUCAAGAAACUUCAAAAGCUACUAUCUGUUGCCACUGUUCUUCCUGCUGUUAAUCAAGUAAGUCAUUAACCAAACAUCAAUUUAGAUUAAAACUUUGAUUGAUUAUCAAUAUUAUUUAUAUAAUGUACUUGUGUAUGUAUGUAUAGGUAGAGAUGAACCUUGCAUGGCAACAAAAGAAGCUGAGAGAAUUUUGCAAUGAAAAUGGAAUAGUGUUAACUGCA